UUCAACAACAAAAAUUCGUUUGACAACAAUUUAUUACUACACUGAACUAAAAUGUUAUCAUUUUUUCAUUUUAAAAUAGAUUUUUGUUCUUUGUUUGUCGAUUUCGGUGUUUAUGCAAUAUUGACGAAUAUAUUGUGGCUAGAGCGAUCCGCGAUCGCACCCCCCGGUAUAGCAUUUGCUCCGAUAUAUCACGUGACAAAAUAAUCCACAAUUUGUGGAUUAUUUCACCAGCCUUUACCAGGGCCUUUGCUGCCCUUCGCCUCCUUCCUCAAAAGGCCCUGGGGACGAGGUUGACGUUUGGCAACAAUCGUUUCAUUUGGCAACAACAAUCCCAAAAUGCAUUGCGAGUUUGCAAAUUUAAAAACAAGAUUGCGGAUCAACAUCAACACGACAAGGGCGCUAUAAAACACGGGCGGGGAAACGCGCUGAAAGCGCGCUGAUCCAUGUGUGAUACGGAUGAGACUGGCGCGAGCGCGCUUAUUUUUCAAAAUGAAAAGAAAAAAGGAGCGAGAAAUGGCAGAAAAAAUUGCAGAAAGUUUUAUAGGAAAGCAUCCUUAUACAAGACAUAAGAAUUGCUUUUUUUAAAUGAAAUUUAUAGUGUCCUAAUGCUAGAUUAAUGGACAAUAAAUGUCUUAUAUUAAUGAUUGACAAAAAUGACUAAACUAAAAUAUAUUCCCAUUUUUUCUGUCGCAAGUGUACAUUUUUUUCAUCAAAAUUUUCGAGUUUGAAAGGGCGCAUUUUGGCUUUAAAUUGGCCUUUCACCAAGGGUAAGUUGGCAAAAGUUAUUUUGAAAUCAUCAUCCUCUUCGAUUCGCCAUUUAAUGGCCAUUCUAAUACAUAUAGUGAGCGAAUGGACUUUUUUUUGACUUGUUACUAUAUUUAAUGUUUUCUACAACCUAUACUGUACUUCUCUCGCCCGGCCCGGAAGAAAGACUUGCAAAGUUUUUUUUAAAAAAUAGUUUUUAAAAAAGUUUUAAAAAGUUUGAAAAGAGUUUUGAAAAGCAAGAAAAGUUUAAAAAGUUCGAUUUUUAAAAAAGUUAAAAAAAUUUAAAAAGUUAAAAAAUGAGGGUUAGGGGUUAGUGGUUAGUGGUUAGGGGUUAGGGGUUAGUGGUUAGGGUUGGGGUUGGGGUUAGGGUUAGUGUUAGGUGCCGUGAAUUUAUUAUUAUGAUAAAUUCAAAAUUUGCCGCGAAUUUAUCAUAAUGAUAAAUUCGGACGUGUUUUAAGAAUUUACUCAUAUAGUAAAUUCAAAGGUGGAGCUCAUGCUGUAUUAAAGAUAGACUGAAAUGGGGCCCGAUAUGCUGUCUUGUUUAGUUGUUUCAUAUACGCAAAGGCCGUCGGGUUUUAAAGCAAUUAUAAAAUCAAUAUUUAAAACAAAUUUACCUUCGUUAACGUCGGCUCCCUUCUUUUAGCCGAUUCUUUCGCGAUUUUACAAAAUUUUGCAAAAAUGCGAGCAAAAAUGAAAUAUAUUUGCAAGAAAUUUAUCAAUCAUCAAAUAAAGAAAUGUUUGCUAUUUCGCUGUCGUCAUGCAGUCGUUAUAAUGCAAACUUUAAAUUGGACCAAUCACAGUGUUCGCUAUUCAUGACAGUCUGCCAUAUUUUUGAGAUCAGUGAGGAUGACCACACACGGUUGGUGACCCACUCCCGCGAUAUUUGAUGAACUUUAGACUUCGCUAAUGCUUUCGUUUCCCCGGGUGUAAAUAGCCGGGGGGAUUAGUACCCUCGCACGGCGCUUCGCGCCGUCGGCUAGGGGAUUAAUUUUUGUUGCUAGCUGCAACAGAAUAAAUGUUUAAUUACGUUCUCAAAAAGCCGUCAAGUGCAUAAGCGCAUUAAUAAUUAAUUCAAGAAUAUUUUUCCAAACCGAGUUUAAACUGAUGUUUUUCGACACAUGUUUCAUUACUAGUAAAAUCGUCGGUUUUGUUUAGGGAAAAAUCGUAGUACGGCCAUCGAACGCAAUAGCGGACGUGCGAGCAUUGAGCAUUUUUGGGCUGCAAAUGUCUUAGUAUCACUGGAAAAACAAACCGCGAAAAAUGCUCGAAAAAUUUUUCCUAGGUCCCAAACCUACCCAAAACUUUUGUAUUCUAUGAGACUAAGUUAUGACACAUCCGAAAUACAACAUUUGAUAAAUGGAUUUUUUUUACGUUGCCAAGUCAAAAAUAUAGCUUCUCGCUAGGGACGGGAUACUUUAUAAACAAUGAAAAACAAACCGCGGAAAAAUUGUAUUUUUGCUCGUAAAAGUUUCCCAAGAUUCGAAAUCUACUCAAAACUUUUGUAUUCUAUGAGAUUAAGUUAAGAUGUAUCCGAAAAACAACAUUAGAUAAAUGGCUUAUAAUCGCGAAUAUUAUACACUUAAUGUCUGCUCCCGAGGGAAAUAGUUAGUUUUGUUUUCCCGAUCAAUCAUAUUGUUAUGAGCAAUAUAAUUAGAGUUGCACCGUGAAUAGGCCAGUGCGGCAUUCGCAUGGUAACAUUGGAAAUUAGAGGUAUACUGUAGUAUCACAGCGACAUGCUGAUAAUUAGCUUUUUACUCGGGCUAGCAAAGGUAGACCGAGUUAUAAAAUGGGUUCGCAUUUCGCUGUCAUGUCGCAAGUUUGCAAAAAACACGCGUGGGUGUCACUCAUGCCACGCACACUGAAAGAUGAUCUCGCUGUGAAUGUAGUUGUGGUAUUUGGCAACUAUAAACGCAACAUUCUAUAAGUUGUUCCUUUUCGUGUUGAAAGGUGGGCUUAAAUUGGUUAUCGUACUUGAUUUUUAAAUUUCAAUAUUACGCAAAUUUGACUAGUUUCUACAAGUAGUGCUUUGUAAAGCCGAGCGUACGUGAUGUUGUAGAGGGCCGACUGCAACGUUUGCGGUAAAACUCAGGCAAAAUAGCGGAUCAAAACAAUCUGAUCUUAUCCGACUACUAUCAACUAAGAAAAAUCGCUGAAAAUGACAGGAAAACGUCAGGUAUUUGUUAAAUAAUAAUGUCCUUGUGUGCGUCCGACUUAACAUGCACCUACUCUAAAAAUGCAUUGCAGAAAAUUGUCUCAUUUAACCUCGCCUUUGCUCAGCGCUACGUUUAAAAAAAACAACACCUAAAUUAAAAUGCGUUAAGUGCCAAUUUCAGUGUAUGAUACGGGAUGCUAAAAGUAUACUUGUGUUUCAAUGUUUGCAUGACAUUGACUGGUUGUACAGUACAUAAUAAUCGAAAUA